UACGGAGGGGGCAGGCGUUGUUCGGAAUUACUGGGCGUAAAGGGCGCGCAGGCGGCUGCUCAAGUCAGGCGUGAAAGGCCUGGGCUCAACCCGGGAAUUGCGCUUGAGACUGGGCUGGCUUGAGUGCGGGAGAGGUGAGUGGAAUUCCCAGUGUAGAGGUGAAAUUCGUAGAUAUUGGGAAGAACACCAGUGGCGAAGGCGGCUCACUGGCCCGUAACUGACGCUGAGGUGCGAAAGCGUGGGGAGCAAACAGG
rnacentral:rRNA from 1 species